UAGAGUCAAGGAUAGAAGGAAGGCGUAAACGAGAGGACGUUGACCCCAGCGAGCCAAUGGGAGACGACUUGAGGAGUUACGCUUUCGAGGGAUGUUGUGAAAGUGUUGUUGGAUCUCUGUCGUCGCUGGAGUCUUGUGCAGACCCUGACGAGCCAGUCAGGUAUGUCAUGUUAGGUCCAAGGUUUGCUAGACUGGUCAGCAUAUACUCAUCUGCACAAACUCAAUCUACAACGGAGGGUGUCUUAGAGGCAACUGUAUAGUGAAUAUUCCUAAUAUUUGGAUACAUCAAAUUGCUUCAAACGUUUGAAUGAUCAAAAGACGGAUGUGCUUCGAUUUUAAACUCCUCUUUGGAUUUUAUUUUACUGGGGGCACAUUAUGAAAAAAAUUAUUUUACUAUUAGAUCAUUCAGUUUUAAGUAAGUUAAUAGUACUUUAUUUUACAACUAAUACCUAUGUAAACUACAAAUUAUUAAUUACUUUACGAAUUAGUUUGCAUAAUUUGAUAUCUCAGCGUAUAUUCUCGUUAAAAAUGAUGUUGUUAAGGUCAACAAAUGUUAAAUUAACACAUGUUUGAGCUGUAAUUUAAAAUUCUCUACCUUGUUAACUUCAACAAAUAUAAUAAAAAUUGUAAUGUUACAGCUUAGAUUAUUGAAAGG